CUACGGGGUGCAGCGGUGAGGAAUAUUGCACAAUGGGGGGAACCCUGAUGCAGCAACGCCGCGUGGAGGAUGACGCAUUUCGGUGUGUAAACUCCUUUUAUAUGUCAAGAAAAUGACGGUAGCAUAUGAAUAAGCACCGGCUAACUCCGUGCCAGCAGCCGCGGUAAUACGGAGGGUGCAAGCGUUACUCGGAAUCACUGGGUGUAAAGGACGCGUAGGCGGGUUGGAAAGUCAGGUGUGAAAUCCUACAGCUUAACUGUAGAACUGCACUUGAAACUUCUAAUCUAGAGUAUGGGAGGGGGAGAUGGAAUUAGUGGUGUAGGGGUAAAAUCCGUAGAUAUCACUAGGAAUACCUAAAGCGAAGGCGAUCUCCUGGAACAUUACUGACGCUAAGGCGUGAAAGCGUGGGGAGCAAACAGGAUUAGAUACGCCUGUAGUC
rnacentral:rRNA from 1 species